UGAAGCCGCUUUGGAGUGGGAGAAUGGGUUGGUACCCUCAAUUGCUCGCGGAGCUGAAUUUAGGCGUGGUUUGAAUUUCGCGGACGAAAUUUUUUUAAGGAGUGGGGAAUGUAAUAUACCAGAUUUGGCAUAAAAAUAAAAAUUAAAAAAAAUAGUAUGAGAUACUGUUUUUAUUGGAUUUAGAAAAGUAAAACAUAAGUCAGAAGUGACUUGUGCUGAAAUCGUAAUGAAAACAGAAGAUUUAGAAUUUUCUGCUAGAAACGGGACAGAUAAAUUAGCAGAAAAUG
rnacentral:lncRNA from 1 species